AAAUUGAAGAGUUUGAUCAUGGCUCAGAUUGAACGCUGGCGGCAGGCCUAACACAUGCAAGUCGAACGGUAACAGGAAGCAGCUUGCUGCUUUGCUGACGAGUGGCGGACGGGUGAGUAAUGUCUGGGAAACUGCCUGAUGGAGGGGGAUAACUACUGGAAACGGUGGCUAAUACCGCAUAACGUCGCAAGACCAAAGAGGGGGACCUUCGGGCCUCUUGCCAUCAGAUGUGCCCAGAUGGGAUUAGCUUGUUGGUGAGGUAACGGCUCACCAAGGCGACGAUCCCUAGCUGGUCUGAGAGGAUGACCAGCCACACUGGAACUGAGACACGGUCCAGACUCCUACGGGAGGCAGCAGUGGGGAAUAUUGCACAAUGGGCGCAAGCCUGAUGCAGCCAUGCCGCGUGUAUGAAGAAGGCCUUCGGGUUGUAAAGUACUUUCAGCGGGGAGGAAGGUGUUGUGGUUAAUAACCGCAGCAAUUGACGUUACCCGCAGAAGAAGCACCGGCUAACUCCGUGCCAGCAGCCGCGGUAAUACGGAGGGUGCAAGCGUUAAUCGGAAUUACUGGGCGUAAAGCGCACGCAGGCGGUCUGUCAAGUCGGAUGUGAAAUCCCCGGGCUCAACCUGGGAACUGCAUUCGAAACUGGCAGGCUUGAGUCUUGUAGAGGGGGGUAGAAUUCCAGGUGUAGCGGUGAAAUGCGUAGAGAUCUGGAGGAAUACCGGUGGCGAAGGCGGCCCCCUGGACAAAGACUGACGCUCAGGUGCGAAAGCGUGGGGAGCAAACAGGAUUAGAUACCCUGGUAGUCCACGCCGUAAACGAUGUCUACUUGGAGGUUGUGCCCUUGAGGCGUGGCUUCCGGAGCUAACGCGUUAAGUAGACCGCCUGGGGAGUACGGCCGCAAGGUUAAAACUCAAAUGAAUUGACGGGGGCCCGCACAAGCGGUGGAGCAUGUGGUUUAAUUCGAUGCAACGCGAAGAACCUUACCUGGUCUUGACAUCCACGGAAGUUUUCAGAGAUGAGAAUGUGCCUUCGGGAACCGUGAGACAGGUGCUGCAUGGCU
rnacentral:rRNA from 1 species